rnacentral:rRNA from 1 species
UACGUAGGUGGCAAGCGUUGUCCGGAUUUAUUGGGCCUAAAGCAUCCGUAGCCGGUUCUACAAGUCUUCCGUUAAAUCCACCUGCUCAACAGAUGGGCUGCGGAAGAUACUAUGGAGCUAGGAGGCGGGAGAGGCAAGCGGUACUCGAUGGGUAGGGGUAAAAUCCGUUGAUCCAUUGAAGACCACCAGUGGCGAAGGCGGCUUGCCAGAACGCGCUCGACGGUGAGGGAUGAAAGCUGGGGGAGCAAACCGG